ACCACUGGGCGUGUGCCGCCCCUGGGGGAGGUCACCUUCACGGCGUCGUGAGCAUGGGCGAUGGGAGGGGGCGCUGAGGCCUCGCCCUUGGGAAGCAGGAGCUGGGAGGUGCCCGGAUUAGGGUCUUUAAGACAUUUAUGCAGUGUGUGAUUCUUUCUAAAACAACUCCCUGGAAGAGAGGACAUUUAAUUCAACAAUUUAUUGGCCACCUACUGUGCACCAGGCAGUGAACUUGGAACUGGGGCUACUGGGUUACAGCAGUGACCAAGACAGAGGUCCCUGUUCUUAAGGAGCAAGUGAGGGCAACAGAAAAGAGCAGAAGUCAGCUGUCAUGCGAGGGCACUCAAGCAGCCCUGUGGAAAGCUCUACG
rnacentral:lncRNA from 10 species